CGCGUAGGCGGCCGACUAAGUCAGACGUGAAAUCCCCCGGCUCAACCGGGGAACUGCGUCUGAUACUGGACGGCUUGAAUCCGGGAGAGGGAUGUGGAAUUCCAGGUGUAGCGGUGAAAUGCGUAGAUAUCUGGAGGAACACCGGUGGCGAAGGCGGCAUCCUGGACCGGUAUUGACGCUGAGGCGCGAAAGCCAGGGGAGCAAACG
rnacentral:rRNA from 1 species